AAGCUCUCUUAAUUUCCAAUGUUUUCUUGUCAGCUUUAUGAUGUAUGCUUCAUGUUGUCUGAUGUCGCCAUAAUAUGUUGCUGCUGUGUUUACUUUCUUUAGCUUUAUAUGUUUAAAGUAUGAAAUGCUAUGAUGAUGGUGGAUUAUUGUUAUUAUAGUAUAUUAAUAAUGUUUAUAAUAUUGUCUUUUUUUACUUUGCAGUGUAUGUGACUUUUCCUUUCUGGUACCUGGUGGUGGCCCCUUUCCCCUUCACUCUCCCACUCCUUUGGGCCUCCCUGAUACAGUCACCUUGUGGUAAAACACCUGAGUGUAGCGACAUCAUUUUUUAGCAUAGAAGAUAUUUUUGAAAUAAAAGCCUUAUUUUUAAACCGAGACUGUUAACCAACAUGAAUCUAUAAAUAAACUGGACACUGUUCAAAAAAAAUAUAAUUUCACCUCUCUCUUUCUUAAACAAAUAAGAACCUAAUAUUCAUAUGUGGUAUUCUCUGGGUGAAAGUCCCAGAGUGGCGUUGUCUCAUUGCGGCCAGGCACAUCAGUUUCCCCGGUCACAUACACAUGACUUUUCCGGCUCAUCUCUCGCUUCCACACUAGGACAACCCAUCUGUUAUUUUGUGGCGAUGUUUGCAUGUAGUGCCUGCACUGAUGUGACACAGAGACUCAACUCAUGUCAAACAAAUAUUUACAGUUGAAUAUAAAUACUCAGACAAAGGAUGAAUGAAAAGCAGUGUGAUUAUGAAAACUGUAGCUGAAAUUCCCUGCCAACCAUGAGCUGUAAAAAUAGAAGAGGGAGGAUCGAAGUUGCAAAGGCUGUCUCAUAUCAGAUACUUUUCAUUCAUCUAAAAUUGAACCCAUUGUACAAAAUCAGCAUUUAUUAAGUUUUUAUUGAAAUAUUUUAUUUUAAUGCAAAUAAUUUUACUCUUGCGACAGCCUUGCGAUGUCCUGACUUUUGUUUUAAAAUAAAACAUUGAACAACUGUCUUGUUUAGCUAAAAAAAGUAUUCUUCAGCGGUUAAAAUAACAUACUGACAGUAAUAUUUAAGACAUGUUGAAAUGAAAUUAACUUCACUGGCCUGCAGUUGUUAUUGCUGGCCAAACACACCAGGCUGCAAUACAAGUGAGUAGAUUAAUUAUUUUGAUCCCUAAUUUAGUAUACCUAGUGAGGACAUUUCCACUUUUUAAAAUUCUUUUAUCUCAGCAGUACUGCUGCUUUGCUGUGCGGAUACACAGCUGGGAGUGAAUUAAGAAUCCAUGUCCGCUGAGCAUCUGUUUAGUAGAGAAGAUAAUGUCUGCUGCACCCCCACCCUCUCUACCACACAUACACUCCAGGUCUGGCGUGAUAUGCAGCAGCCUAAAUGCCUAAAUGGUGACAGUCUAGCCAGAGACUGUGUAAGAUAAAUUUCAAUGUCUCACUAUUAAUGGAAGUUUGUAGAGAGGCAUUGCGAGUAAUCUGCAGGUAAAAAACAACUGGAAUAAAUUAUGUCAUUUUCUCUGCUGUCACACUUUGUUUUUUUCAAAUAAAAUAACUUAAAGAACCUCAGUUGUUACAAUGGGAACAUCUAUUGCUCCUUUUGUUUUAGGUCACUUUACUCAACAUUUGGACUUUUAUGUUGUGGUCCUCGGCACAAUCGGUCCCUAAAACAGCAUGUGACAUUAUCCUAUUUGACUCAAUCAGUUUAGAAGCCAUUAUUUUUCCUCUAAGACUUUGCCCUUGUCCAACUAUAAAUGCUAUGAGAGUUAAGGGUGUUCUAUGCCCAGAGCUCCCUGAUGUAUUUAUGUACCACCAUCUUUUUUUUUUAAGCUUAACCGUACCGUGUGGAUGGCAACUUGUAACCGGAGAUGAGAGUGGUUACCUGGGCCCCAUUUUGUGUCUCUAAUGAGUCUCCGCUUUGAACAACAUUGUAGGUAAAUUAAAAUCUCUUCAGAUAAGUGGCAAAAUGCUCUAAAAAUAAACUGAUUUAUUCCAAGCUGACAAGCCAUUGAAGCAUCUACAAAAUAUGUGUAUACUUGUAUGUAUAUUUCUAGUAUGUUUAAAAAUAAGAAUGAGAUUAUGUAUGGACUGAUUUAAAAGAAAUCUGUUGAUAAUGAAUUUUACUGCUCAAUUGGCCUUGCAGCAGAUUGUGUUGAAGCAUUUACUGGAUCUACCAGAUGGGGACCUAAUGAGCCUUUUUCCGAAGCAACACACAGAUGGAGACAAUCUACUGUUUGCAUUCACACUAGCAUGUUCCCGUUUUGGGGGAUGGAAAUUUGAUUUCUCUGCAUAUGCCCGCCCAUUCACAAACCUUGCCCACAUUGAUGAACAGACAAAUCCAUGUACAUCUUCUGGUUUUAACGGUUUACCAGCAUAGAGGUACAUCUAUAGUAUCUGCUGAUGCCACCAGCAAUAUUGUUCCUCCCUGUAAUGAACUCAAGAAAAGAACUAUGGAUCAGCCAUGAUGUGAUCUGUCCGCCAAAUGUAAUACAGAAUGGGAUUUUUUAAAUGGAUGCGACUGGACGAUCAAAUCCAUUAGCGUAUACCUAAGGUGGGCUUAGCACUGAUUGGCCUAAAGGAGAACUGAACACAUCUAUAACAGCCAGUGUGACGGGGUAUUACUUAUGGCAAUAUGCAUGAAAGCGUUAUUCAGAGUCGUAUGUAUAUUUGACAUGCUAAAAGUUAACAAGAAAAAUGCAAAGCUCCAUCAAGCAACAUUUUUGAUGUUGCCACUAACCCUUGCUCUGUUGAGUUGCAUCUGACCAAAAAAAUAAUUCAUAUAUAGUAGUAAAAGCAUCGGGCAUGCCAUGUCCAAGUUUAUACCCACAUUGUUUUGUGUCAGACUUCACAUUCUCAGUUUCUAAUCUAAUGAUGAAGAGUGUUACUGACUUCAUUGAAAGGCAGCUUUUCCGUGCUAUCUUCCCAGAUAGGUAUAUUAGGUGUCAGUUGUGCUUUCUGUUUUACUUUGAUCCACACCCAACAGUGAUGUUUACAGCAUCACACUCCAACACACACCCCAAAGCGUAAAUCUAUAUCACUGAAACAACUGUAAAACUGUAAACCAUAAAAACUCAUGCUACUGUGAUAUGAUUGGGUUUAAUGUAUAUAUUUUUCAGUGACAGACUUUUUUUUUUUUCAGAAACACCUUUUGCAGCCUCAUCAUGUGGAGAAAUUUGGAAAUUAUCACACCUUUCCAUUUUCCUAUAAAUAUAUUUUGAACCUUAAAAAAAGGCCAUUUGAUGAUUAAAAAAAAAAAAAAUUCCACAAAAUUAUUAGAUCAACUUGAUGGUUUAAAGUACACAUUUUAAACAUAAUUAGAACCAAGUGGGAUAAUAAACUUAUUUUAUGCAACAUACAUUUUGGUAGAAUCAGAAUCAGUUGUUAUACUUCAUAGCCUCAACAAACUAACAAACUAAGACUGUAAUCCAACCGGAAAGAUGCCACUACAGUUCAUGUUAACAAAACUCUUCAGCAAAUAUGAUAGCCUUAAACAGCCAUCUACCCAAUGAGUUUAAAUGUUUAAUAAUGGCUGCAUGUGUGUCUGCUUCAUGUGGUAGAAAGAUUAGUGUUUAAUAAUGACAAAGACCGUGGGUCUGUUACAGGGUAUCAUUUUAUUUACAUUACAUUACAGAUCAUUUAGCUGACGCUUUUAUCCAAAGCGACUUACAUUACACUUUAAACCCAUGGCUUAACAUUUUGCCCGGGGAGCAAUUAGGGGUUAGGUGUCUUGCUCAGGGACACUUCAACUUAAAACAUGGAGCAGCCGGGACUCAAACCACCAACCUUGCGGUUCCCAGUGCACCCGCUCUACCCCCUGCGCCACGACGACCCCAUUUAGACGACCCCAUAUUUAAAAUGUUUUUCAUACAUUUCUUUCCAGUACUUGCUUCUUCUAGAAAGACAAGGAGACCACCUAUCUCGGUGAGAAUGCAACCUUGCCUCACUGACAUAAUAUCAGAAAAGAUGUUUACAUGUCUUGCAUCAUUGGAUUAUUACUUUUUGUUAUUUUUAAUAACAAGGUAGCUGCAUAUAGUCUUAUGUUACCAAUGCUUUAGUCUCCAGCACACAAUACUGUUUCUGCAGUUUAGUAAAAUUGAUGAACACUUUUUUAAACCUCCCUUGACAUGGGAUAAUCCAGGAAUAUAUAAGAACACGGACAUUGAGUUAGAGCAAAUAGCAAAUAUCCGAAAAUGUGUGAGCACUUGAAGAACAGCCAUAUGAUGGUUUAUGUGGUCAGACUUUCAAAUGUGCCUCUAAAAAACGAUUUGCUUGUUAUAAUGGUGAUAUAGCUUGGUUGGUGUGGUUAAGUUUUAUUCUAGAUGUUGCAAUCAUCCAUCGUGCACUUAUUAUGCUACAAUGACUGUUUUAAAAGUACCAUUACUUUUUUUAACAUUUAAAUUGUUUAUAAUCAUCGGCUUACACAUAAGUACUUCUUAUUCCUAUUCUAACACUCACUCUUUAAGCAUAAAUAAAUCAGUAUGACAAAAUAUCAGAUUGGUAGUAUAAAAAUGUCAUCUUUACCUCCAGCAGUACAUUCCUGUAAAAACAAAAAUGUGUCAGUUCCAAAAAAUCAUGGAUUUUCAUUUGACAUUCAUCUUAAAAAUGUAUCAAUUACUAUCAAUUUGAAAAUAACCUACAGCAAUUAUCCUAUUUACGCAUUUACACAGUUGACUUGUUUAUUUUGGCAGUUGUCCUCUCUGUAUAUGGCUGCCGUGCCUUGCCUUAACGUCUUCAUGUUUGAGCAUUAUUAUUUCACAAUUAGUGCUAUGUUCUGUUUGUGCUAUAAUGAAUCAGUUGCUCAUACUCUUAUGAAACUUGAUCUGGUAUGGUGGGUAAAUUGUGCAGCAUAGGUCACUACCGUGGUCCAUCUGGUCAAGAAGUAAACCAAACCGUAUGAAAAUCGCCUCACCAGCAAGCCUUAUAUAAUUCUACCUCACCUCAAAGAGCCCUGUAGACCAGCGCGUUCUUCUUGUACUGGCUUGUAUCGCAUGGAGCUUUCUUCACAUCUCCAAUGAUAUAUUUAUAUUGACAAUUUCUUUUUGUUUAUACAUUUUAAUUUGACCAUUCAUAGUGACUAUUACUAUUUCAAUGCUUUUGAAAGAUUAAUUUUAUUGUUCACCAUAGUUUUAUCGUACCAUAGAGAUGGAUCAAGAGACUGGGUGUCACGCUUCCACGGUGAUGCUGUCGCCGUAACUGCAGCCUAUAAGCAGUGCAGAUCUAUCCACGCCAACAAAGCACGGGGAAGCUCAUCUUCUAACCUCACGAUUGCUGUAAGCUGUAAGCCUUGUUUAAUUAUUAAUGACAGUUUUAUAUUAAUCAUCUUUUUCAAAGAGCACUUUCUAAGACCCGAAUGCCAGCAGAAUGUGCACUCUCUCUCAAACAGCUGCAUCUACAAGGAGGUUUGCACAAAGAAUCAGAAGGGGGGUUUGUUACUCAUUCAGUCACGUUGUACCACAGCUCAAACAGUUAGGAAGGGUUGAUUCCUUUUUGUAAGAAAUCUGCUUCCAAACAACAGAUUUAAAUGGAAAGGGGUUUAUAAAAAACGUUUUAUGUUCUUCAAACAAUGGAUACAGUAAAUGCAGGAAUAAAUUAUCAACCUUCAACCUCCCACACAAUAUUUCCGUUCCGACACAGCAAUAGAAAGGCCUCUACGGGACAUUGAAUUAUCCAGAUGCUAGAUAGUGUAAUCAACAGAUGUUGCUUCAGCUGGACUUUCAGUGCGUUGUGCCCUAUAUACAGUGGAUGCAUUCACACAGCACACUUGUAGAUAUUUAUAUUUGCCCUCAACCAAUCGAUAUGUUUAAUAUUCAUUGAAAAAGACCAUAGAAUACAAUAAAGACAAUUUUAAAAUGGCCUACUGUUAUGUAGUUAUUGUCAUCAUACUGUUGGUGGCUUGAAUUGAUACUUAAUUAAUUGACACAAAAAGUCACAAAUUGUGUGAUAGAAUAUUAGAAUUAUCCAUAUUGGCUGCAGUUGGUGAAUGUUUUCAUUCAAAUUCAGUAACAAAAUAUAAAAAUUUGACUCCGGUUAGUCGUCAGUCUCAACAUAGUAUAUACACAGCACAUACAAAUAAACAAGAAAUGAUAAAUACAAAAUAAAAAAACAAUACAAGAAGAACAUAACAACAAACAUUUAACAACUAAAUAUAUAUGAACAUAAGCUGUAUGAGCUAGUCAUCAGCACAAUGAUGUUUAACUACUUCAAGCACUCUGGUUAAGUGCACAAUACAAACCACAACAAAUACAAAUUUGUAAAAGUAUCUUUUCGCCACAAUUUCUUCAGGGCCAAUAAGAGCAGAAUUACCCACCCGAAAAUCUUUCUCGAAACACAUGUUCCAAUAUCUUCGCAUGGUCCAUAUACUGUUUUAAAUAUAAACUAUUUUUGGAUAUUAUUCCAGUGAAUAUCAUUCAAUUCGGUACACAUUAUGAAUGAAUGUCAAACGGUUCUAAAUGUGCCACAACAAGCAGACUUUUCUUUCGACUCCCCCCUUCCUUUUCACACCACUUGAACUACAAGUUUAUAAAAAAAGGCCCCACGGCGGAGUUCUUGGAUUUCUCCCAGGGUUCACGAAUGGAUGCAGUGGAUUGUAGAGGGGAUUGACCGACUAAGGUGAUGAGCUUGUUGCUGAUCCUAUUUCUGGUGUGUCAUACGGGCCAAUCUGUGGUGUUAGUGCAGUCACUGUUUUCACCUGUUGUUUCUGGUAGCCGCCAUGUAACGGUGACACAUGAGAUCACAUCUCUUAUUGCCAAUAUAAUUAUAUCCGUGACAGCUGACAUUUAAUGUAUGACUCUUAUAAGAUCGAUCAAAGCGGUUUUAAAUUCAGAUAACAAAAAGUUAGUCUUCCCAUCUUCCUUCUCUGACAUAAAGAUGUCAUGCAGAAAAUAACAACUAUAUGUUUUCAUUAUGUUCAAAUCAAAAUUGCUUUUUUGUGUAGGGUAAAUAGCAAAUACACAUUGUUGGCAUUAAUUUGUAAUGUUUAAAGAUAGUGGGUUUUUGUGUUUGUCUGUCAAGAGGGUACCCACACUGUAAAAAAAGUACGUAGUUUACGGUAAUAAACUGUUAAAUCGCAAGACCGUUGAUUAAAAAUAGGUCAUCUUCUGUUUCUAUCACAUUGAAAUACUGUAUAUGUAUAUAUCAGCACAAACCAUAAUGUAUGCAUCUAUUUCUUGUAAGAAAUACAUUUUCUCACUGUUAAUUGUAACGAUAACGGAAAUACACCGUAUUAUGAAAAACACUCUGUACCGUAAUUUUUACAUUUAUGACUUAAAAAAAAUACAAUCUGUCCCUGUUAAAUGUACAGACUACUGUGCUGACAACCGAAAUAUAACGUAUUUUAAAUGUAACAGCCAGCCCUGUUAUUUUUGCAUUUAUUAUAUGCAAAGGAUAUAGUUGGUCACUGUUAAUUGCACUAAAAAUUGUACUGAUGACGGUAAUACACCGUAAUAUGAACAACACUCAAUACCGUAGUUUUUGCAUGUAUUACUAAUUAAAAAUACAUUUUGUUACUGUUAAAUGUACGGACUAUUUUGCUGCAAAUGGAAAUAUAACGUAUUAUGGCGUUCACAGCAGGUCCUGUAUUUUUUGCAUUUAUUAUUUGUACAAAAUACAGUUUAUAACUUAAGUGCACAAAAGAUUGUACUGAAUAUAAAUAACAGGCAAUACUGACAUUUUUGCAAAGAUUAUCUGUAAAAAAACACAUUUUGUUAGGUUACAUUUACCACUGUGCUGAUUACAGAAAUACUUUAAUAUAAAUACAACAGUCACCACUGUAAGUGUACUAACCAUUGUGCUAAUAACAGAAAUAUACCGUGGGGAAGUUAACAUGGGUAUAUUAACGAUUCAGAUUUUUUGUGGAAAGGCUGGGACAGAGAGACGGAGAGAAGGAGACAGUUUGAGAGAUACAGAGACAGAGAGACAGAUUGAGAGAGAGAAAGACAGAGAAAGGGAGACAGAUUGAGGGAUAUGGAGAGAGACAGAAGGAAAGAGAGACACAAGAGAAGGGCAGAAGUGUGGUAGUGUUAAAAAAAAACUCCAACGUUCAGAAAUUGAACUUUUCAACUCCACUUCAGCGCCAUUUCUACGCACUCUGCAUUGCUGGAACAACGGCCUGACGGACUCCGGACUACAUUUCUUCUUGAGGAGCUGUGGUCUCCUCCUGUUCAUCCCCGAAGGGUGUGGCUGGAACAGCUGACGGCAAUCAGCCAUCAGGGGACUCUCCUACAUCAACCCGGGUCUUCCUGCCAUUCAGCGCCAGAUCCUUCUGUCGUCAGAGAGAGAGGAUCAUCCCAAUCCGCAGUGAACACCUGAGGAUACAAGUCCUCAAGCAGAAGGUCCCGAACCGCUUCGCUUCCUGGAUCUUUAUUUACAAUAAGCUUUAUUAAAUAUUUCCUGAUGUUGACUGAAAUAUAUGCCAACCAAUUGUAAUACAUUAUGCCUCAUAUUUUUGCAAUGGAAUUCUGGCAAAUAGUUGCUGGCAAUUUGCUUUGAACUUUGUAAUAAAAUACCGUAACUCAUAGUUUUACUGUGUUUAUCUCGAAGAAAGACCUUAAUUAGGUUCACAGAAUAAAUGCUCUUUUUAAAAAAAUAUACCGUAUUGUCUUUUACAAACAAAACGGUAAUUUACCGUAUAUUUCAAAGAUUUUUUUUUUUUUUUGCAGUGUCUUUUUUUUAAUCAUUUACUGUAAACAAAACGAUUCUCAACUGGGAAUUUUACGGGUGCAAAAAAACAUACCGUAAUGUAUUAUAUGGUGUCACUUUUUUUUUUUUUUUUUAAGGUAAACCUCUGGCAACCACAGCUGCCAGUAAUUUACCGUAUAUUUCACGGAUUAUUUUUUGCAGUGCAAGACACUGCUAUUAAAACUUAAGACUCCAGAAUUUCAGAAAGCAGUCCAUGAGACUUUACAAAUUUGAAAGUCCGAUGGCAAAAAGCAGGAAUAUGGAAACUAUUACCAGCAGUCAUCCCUACCCACAGAUGUACACUCCCUCCCACACACAAAGCAGCUAAAAAGUAAUUAUGCAAAAGCUUCAGUGCUUGCCCCUGGCCAUUGAGGAGUUUAGAUCCCGUUGAUGCAAUCGGGGGAACAUAACCAUUUGUUUGCAGUUCUAGGGCAAAUGUGAUUAUUUAUUCCACUUUUAGCGUUAGUUUGGGUAUACUCCAAUUCCGUAGGCAAGCAUCUGGCCACUUGAAUAGCUGCUAAAUGUUCCAUUACGUCAGUGUUUCUCUCUAGUGUGUCACAGUGGUAUCGCAGGUGGGUCAUAUGGGGAAUUAUUUUAAAUCAAGAACUUUAUAGAGAACUUCCCAUCUCACAAAAGUGAAAAGGACUGCUGUUUCCUCUCUCAAAACUAAACGCAGAUCAUUGAGCAUGAAUGAAGCCGAAUCAAUCUGCAAUCCUGUUAUAAAAAAGAGUUGCGGUAAAAUAAAAAGGAAAGCAGGCUUUUUGCAGCCACAAAUAGUCAGUUUUAGAUGGUCCACACAUAUCUCCACUAAUCUUGUUUUAUUUCACAUAGGUUGCAUAGCCACUAAUUACAGCCACAAUGAAAUAAUUACUGCUUUUUUUUUUGCACAGAAAAAACUUAAUCAACAUUGUUAAACAGCAUGGUUGUACAUUUUAUUUGUUUUACAUACAUAGUCAUGUGGUCUUAUAUAUCAGCCAGCACAGUUGUCUGUUUGUGUAUUUAUACAACGUGUGUUUGUCUUGGCUCAGUCUGUGAGGCUGUAAGAGCUCCAGUAACAGCACAUAUCUGUCCUUCUCACUGCUUACCAAUAUCUGGCCAUCUGAGGCCUCUGUGACAAACACUCACCUUGAGUGCUGAAUCACCCAUCCCUGGGGCCGGCCGUCUCUGCCUGAUGAAUUUUCUUUGGAAAGAAAGGAGGGGUUAUCUAAGAGGUCACUGUAAUGGGAGCGACAUUCAUCAAUCUUUGCUCCAGAGGAAGCGGCUGAAAUUGGAAAACGGAAAAAGGUAGUGAUUCUUGCAGGCGAGGAGCGGCACAGAUGUGGGAAAGGGGAAGAAAACAAACAAACAGCUUCAACUCAGAGUCGGAGGAUAGCUAAUGGAUUGAAGAUAUGGCAAGUGGGUAGUGCAUGUUUACAUGUUGUAAACUGCAGUCAGCUCAUUCAUCAGAGGUGCCUUAAUAUUCCCUCUAGCCGCCUUUGCUUUUUCUUUGUUAGCAGUCGCCGCACCUUCAUCCACACUGGAGUAAACUCAUCUCAAACACUGAAGUGAAGUAGUGUGUUCAUUUAGAAUUAUGCAUGCAAGCGCACAGAUGCGUUUAUAUAUGUAUGUUUAACAUACGUCUUCAUGUCAUUACUCUCCUUGUGAAGCGUUUUCAUAUUCGCCCUCCAAUCAAGUAUUAUGUUUUCCUAUUCAGAGAAGGCGUACCAUAUUUGGAGCUUUUCAAAUAAGUGUAUUAUUUCAGUGUGUUUUGUUUCCACAUUCCCUGACACACAGUUGGCCGGAGACUCUGAAUUGCCCAAAGGUAUGAAUACUAAUGAUUGUUUAUCUGUUAGCUCUGAUGGACGACUUGAUUAGCGUUUUAAAUGGAGAGCCCUGCAAGAUCCUGGAACUAUGGAAUGGAAUGAGCAAAGACAAUGGCUGAAGCAGAUAAAAACCAGGAUUAUUGUGCACAACACAUACUGGGAAAACAAAUGAAUACUUUUUGUAAUGUGUAGCAGUCUUUAUUUUUAUGACUGCUUAUAAUCUCUUGUUUCUCUUACCUCACUUAAGUGUUCAGUUGGCAUGUGAGCUUGUUUUUUACACCAGGAAGACGAUGUCUUCCUACACACGACUAAUUAAUCGCAUUAAUGUGACAUUUCGAAUCUCAAACGUAUUAAGCAUAUAAGGGAAAGAUCGACAGUGAAAUAUCCGACAGCAUCGUAGUCCAGAGGAUUAUCUACGUGUGAUCUAAAAAAUAAUGGUCAAACUUUAUUUUUACACCAAAUGCACUGCACUCACAUACGGUAUAAUGUAAUUAACCUUUGUGGACUUUAGCAUAUCAAUCAUGGCCAGAUUUAAAAGAAAAUAACAAUACCAAAAGUGUUUGUGUUAGCUUAAGGUGGCAAGGAGUCAUGUUUACACAUUACCUCAAUUUGACAGCCAGUGGACGAGCAACAUCAGGGAGAAACAAAUGCAAUUUAGUAGGGGGUGCAUGGGGGAUGAUAGGGUUCAUUCUGCCAAAUGGAGUGAUGACUAUGUUACCUCGGGGAAGGAUAUGCUAAGUGCCCAAAGGCAGACGAGCACACAAUGGAGUUCAGGGGUGAAUCAUAGGCAAAAAAGAAUUUUAGCUUGAAAUUCAGUAGCUUAUAGAGAAAGGGCAGAGGAGGUGAGGAGAGAAGGUAAGGUUGAGUAUUCUGUAAUGGAGGGGUUAAAUUGUGAAGUUUGUCUUCUUAAUUUAUGCAAAUUUCUACUGCAGACAGCUUUGAAAGAUAUUUUCCAAUCCUUGUCUAUCCUUUCAAGGUGGCUGUAUUGUAUGUAGAGCUGCUCCUUGUAGGUUGAAUAGCCGACCAAUCACUUCUUCUCUUUGUCGACCAAGCAGUAUAUUUUUCAUGCUGAAUGACAUUUUUUCAAUAAACGUGGGAACACAUCCAUAGAAACUGUUGAAACAAUUCCUCAAAGUGUAUUUGUUAUGUUAAUAUUUACGUAUUUACUAAUAACUACCUCAUUUGUCUUGAUGGAUGCAACUGUAGAGAAGUUAACACAGAUUAUUAUUAUACUUUAGACAAGGGUCAUGUAUCCCUCUGUCUUAAGCUUCAUGUCGUUAUGUUCUCCUACUUAAACCCCAUUUCUUUGCUCGAGAGUUCACAUAAGCCAAAAUAUAUGCACAUUGUAAACCUUUUCGUCAAAAUGUCUUUUUAAAUUGUUGCUGAAACAACUAUUUCCCUCUCAAUGCACAGUGUGUGAGUCCUACUUGGAAAGAAAUAUGUUUUUAGUGCAAACACCGAAGUAUCAAUAUUCUUCGGUUUAAUCAGUAUUUAUAUUCAGAUACUUGAAAAAGAAUUCUCCAAAAACAAUAUGUUCUAGUUUGCAAAUUGAGAAAAUAUAUUUUUUUUUUGCGUGUCUCAGAAGUAUUCAAGAUAUGUUUUUAUAUCCUAUUUUCUCCCAAACGCCUUCUUUUUUGUUGAUUUGUUCAUUUUUAAAUCUUAAAUUUUGAACAUUGUUUUCUCAGUGUUUAACUACGCAAGAGGUCAUUUGUCAAAUGUCCACUGAGCGUGGAGAAGACUGAAUCUGGAUGUUCAGCUGGAUUAAAAGUGCAGCCCCGUUGGCUAAAUAUCCCUCUCUAAGGUUUUUCCAAAGACAGCUCCUUUGGGACUAAAUAUGGGAAGUAGGUCAUGCCUUUUGGAACCGCCAUUUUCUGUUGGUACAGCAUUAAUUUUUCAUGUACAUGAAAGUCCCGUAUGGAUAAGGAGAGGGAAUGGUUUGGACAGUAUGCAAACACAGUAGAAUGCAAAUCAAUAUAGUACAUCCACAGUACGGGAAUAUAAGUUAUUAUAGUGAAAGUAAAAGUUUGUAAUCACCUCAAAUCCGAUAUGCUGAAUUGCUUAAUUUUCCUAUUUCAACCAAAAACUGAGAACAAAUGGAAAUGGAAGUAAGAUGAAUACAAGAAAAAAAAAAACUUAGUGACUUUCUUUUUCAUGUUUGAAAUAAAUGAUCACAUUCCCCUCAUUAUUUCCCCAAAAUGUCCCAAAAGAAAAUAAUUUGACUGCAAAUUAUCUUCUUAGAUGAACAGGGAAGAUCAAGUGAACUGCACCAUGUUUUUUGCUAAAGGAUAAAUUAGUAAUAAGUUUUGAUCUUUACGUGCACAUAUGAUUACUUUUCAGAAACGUAGGCUAGCUUUGGAGACGCGCUGUCAUUUCCUAAUUAUUACAUUACAGGUAAUUUAGCAGACGCUUUUAUCCAAAGCGACUUACAUUACACUUUAAACCCAUGACAUUUUUUGCCCAGGGAGCAAUUAGGGGUUAGGUGUCUUGCUCAGGGACACUUCGACAAGGAACAUGGGGCAGCCUGGACUCGAACUUCCCAGCACACCUUCUCUAACCCCUGCGCCACGAUGACCCCUAAUCUCUUAUUGUUACUCAAUGUAAAAAUUGACUCAGGCAUAUAAAGAGGGCAAUGUUAUUAAAAUCAUUCAUGAAACAAAAUGGAAAAGUUAAUGACUAUUACUGAACAUCAGUGUUCCUAGUCACCGUGGAGAGCGGACUGAGUGAUAACUAUACUUUAUCCAUUACUAUACAAUACGAUUAAUCUUAAUUGUAAUACACACAUUAAUGGCAAACAACGUAUGUCGAUAUAUUUAUUGACAAUUGCAAUGUGCCCGGUUACUUUUGGUCUCCCUGGGGUAACAAGAAGGCGGAUACACAUGGGUUGUUGUUAAGUCAUUUUUAUUGUUUAGGAUUGGCAGGCAAAAUCAAACUUUACUUUGUACCAGUUCUCCUGUGUCCUGUGCUCUCUCGACUGUUUCAGUCCAGCGCUCCGAUCGCCAUUAC
ensembl:lncRNA